AAAGGUGGGCGCGCAAAGGUCAAGGUGAAGGGAUAUUUCACUUGCUUUUAGCACUUAUUUCAAUAUUGCGGACUGACAGUAAACAGGGGGUGUAUGACAGGAAGUCAUGAGUCACAGCUUCAAACCCGUGGAUUUUCUCUUCUGCAGCAUGCUGAGUUAUUUAGGUUGCACCCUCUCACUAAGUGCUCUCUAGAUCACCGGAAAAAUGUGAAUAACAGCAGGAACGCGAACUUCAAAGAAGACAGAAUCGCAAGUAAGCAACAUUACAAAAAAAUAACCUCCUUGGCAGAGGUAAGACUUCUUUUAUGAUUCCUUUUAUUUCAGAUUAAAUGAUUGUACUGGUGUUUUCCAUGUAAUACAGACAUUCUGAUAUCAGAUGUAUCUGCUAAUUCAUUACACUCCAUUUCCAUCUUCAGCUGGACACUGCCUCAACUCUAGUGAGUGCAGUGGGCAGUGGACACUGGAGAGGACAGUCAAUCAAUCAAUCAAUAACACAUGUUUGCUGAGGUUUCUCUAGUUGUUGUUCCUGAAUGGUAGGUACAGUGUCCUGGUCCCUCAGUCCUCCUGUCCUGCCUGCUCCAGGCUUUGCCUUCUCUCUGUCCUUCACUCUCUCCUCUCUGUGUGCUUGUGUGUCUGUGUCAAUGUUCAUGGGAAGGACUCAUUGUGGGUUCCCGCCUCUGGCUGAACACACCUGCAACAAUCAAUCACCUGUUCUCGAUGAUCUCGUUAAGAAGCACUAUUUAAGAGGGCGGCUGAGGUUCAUUCUUCUCUGGAUCGUUGAACUGUGCUGUUAGUAAAGCCGUGGCUCUUUUGUCUUUUCCUUGCCUUUAUAAACUCGCAACUAAUCUCAUCCUUCUUCCUCUUGUAUACAGACCUUCCCUGGAUUUUCCCUGUCCUGGAGUUCUUGGAGAGACUGCUUGAGCUGAGUCAGUGUGGAUCCCCUGUUCCCCCUUCGUACUACCUGUAUAUAUCACCCUGGCGUUUCACUGUAAAUAAAUGCACUAAACUUGAUCCCUCUGAGUCCUGCCAUUGAGUCCACUCCAUCCAGCAUUCCUGACAUAUAGUAGCCAAACAGUUAUAUAUUAAUAAUAAAUAAAAGAUCACACUUGGAACUCAGGGAAAAGCAAAACGAUCUUCAGCGCCAUUCUUUACGUCUGGUGGCUUUA
ensembl:lncRNA